AAAUUGAAGAGUUUGAUCAUGGCUCAGAUUGAACGCUGGCGGCAGGCCUAACACAUGCAAGUCGAGCGGCAGCGGGAAAGUAGCUUGCUACUUUUGCCGGCGAGCGGCGGACGGGUGAGUAAUGCCUGGGGAUCUGCCCAGUCGAGGGGGAUAACUACUGGAAACGGUAGCUAAUACCGCAUACGCCCUACGGGGGAAAGCAGGGGACCUUCGGGCCUUGCGCGAUUGGAUGAACCCAGGUGGGAUUAGCUAGUUGGUGAGGUAAUGGCUCACCAAGGCGACGAUCCCUAGCUGGUCUGAGAGGAUGAUCAGCCACACUGGAACUGAGACACGGUCCAGACUCCUACGGGAGGCAGCAGUGGGGAAUAUUGCACAAUGGGGGAAACCCUGAUGCAGCCAUGCCGCGUGUGUGAAGAAGGCCUUC
rnacentral:rRNA from 1 species